AUUUGGAUAGAUUUUUUGAUGGCAUAAAAGGCCCUUCUUGCUUUCUCUUUCAGUUCAUUCACAGCCAAAUUUAGCUUGCCAGUGGCAUUUAUCUUCAGCCCGAGUUUCUGACUGAACUCACUCGGCUGUUCCAGAAGUGCAGGACCACUGGCAGCGUCGUCAUCACUUUAAAGAAAUAUGACGGCAGAACAAAGCCGGUCCCCAGAAAAGGCCAUCCAGAGACGUACGAACCAGCCGACAACAAAUGUCUCUUCAGAGCAUCAGACGGCAAGACCAAAAUCAGCACAGUGGUGAGAAAACAGCAUUCAGUCACACGCAUGUGUG